rnacentral:rRNA from 1 species
GUCUUCUAAAUAAAGACCAGUAUGAAAGGCAUCACGAGGAUUAAACUGUCUCCUUUCUCUAAUCAGUGAACCUAAUCUCCCCGUGAAGAAGCGGGGGUAUCUAUAUAAGACGAGAAGACCCUAUGGAGCUUAAAACACUCUACACGUGCUACAUAUUUAUAUAUAACUGAGGUUAUGCACGCUGUGGUCGAAAUGUUUUUGGUUGGGGUGACCAUGAAGAAUAAACUACCCUUCAUGAUGAAUAAGGAUACUUCAAUCCUCCUUUAAACGACAAGCUACAGCUUUACUUAUCAAAAAAUUGACAUUCAUUGACCCAUUAUUUUGAUCAACGAACCAAGUUACCCUAGGGAUAACAGCGCAAUCCAUUUUAAGAGUUCAUAUCGACAAAUGGGCUUACGACCUCGAUGUUGGAUCAGGGUAUCCCAGUGGUGUAGCCGCUACUAAAGGUUCGUUUGUUCAACGAUUAAAACCCUAC